rnacentral:tRNA from 1 species
CGCGCUCUGGAACACGGUGAGCCCGAUGCCGGUGCCGACGAUGCGGAGCAUCCGGCGACGCCGGGGUUCGGGCUCCCGGGGCGUAC